AUUGAACGCUGGCGGCAGGCCUAACACAUGCAAGUCGAGCGGGGUUUUCGGACCUAGCGGCGGACGGGUGAGUAAUGCGUAGGAAGCUACCCGAUAGAGGGGGAUACCAGUUGGAAACGACUGUUAAUACCGCAUAAUGUCUACGGACCAAAGUGUGGGACCUUCGGGCCACAUGCUAUCGGAUGCGCCUACGUGGGAUUAGCUAGUUGGUGGGGUAAUGGCUCACCAAGGCGACGAUCCCUAGCUGGUUUGAGAGGAUGAUCAGCCACACUGGAACUGAGACACGGUCCAGACUCCUACGGGAGGCAGCAGUGGGGAAUAUUGGACAAUGGGCGCAAGCCUGAUCCAGCCAUGCCGCGUGUGUGAAGAAGGCCUUCGGGUUGUAAAGCACCUUCAGUAGGGAGGAAGGGUGUUGUGUUAAUAGCACAGCAUUUUGACGUUACCUACAGAAGAAGCACCGGCUAACUCUGUGCCAGCCGCCGCCGUAAGAC
rnacentral:rRNA from 1 species